rnacentral:lncRNA from 1 species
CAUAUGAAUUUCAGUCACAAAACAACACACAUAAUCAACAAUAUAAAAGACAUAAGAAUUCAAAUUCAACAUAACAUAAAGAACAACAACUCACAACUCACAUAACAUCAAAGGAAAGGAAGGAAAAAACUACACCCACACUAUUAAAACUCACAAACUUAGAUGAUAGGUUAAACCCCUUACUUGAAUUUGCGGGGAACUCCUAAGUUUGAUGCUUUAUUCCUCUCCUCUAAGCCUCUCACGUUUCCCAUCUUUCAAUUUGCAAGUUUCUAUUCUUUCUCUGUUUUUAGUAGAGUUGCUAAUCCUGGUUUUCUAGUCUUCUCUUAUUUAUAGAAAAA